GAUAAGGUAAGAUAAAAAGUCAAAUCUAAAGAAAAGAAAUACGUCGACUAAGGAAAAUUUCGAAUUUGUAUUUUUCCAAGUUUCUCAUCAAUACUUUUUCUGAGAAUCGCGUCCUGCGCGCAGAAACUCACCCUUUGCCAACCCCCGCGUAGAACGCGACGCCCUCGAGGCAACUCCUGCCUUGGAUGGGUGGCACGCAGGCGUCAACAUGGCCGCGGCACGUCGACUCCAUCCGCCUAAACGAGUCUGUCCUUCGUUUAACUCCUAUCAGUAAUUAAUAAAACGCCACCAAGUGCUCCUUGACCGAAGAUGUCGCGUAAAAGUAGAAACUCGAUUGAAGAGAAAACAAUAUAUUUUUUGUGAUGUGUUAAUAUCGACUCGAGAGGAAACGAGUGUAUCCUUUAAAACAAUGCGAUUAUCAUCUAAGUAAUUUAUAUCGCCGUGAAGUGUUUCUUACGGAAGAAAAUAUUAGUUAAUGAAUGACAAAAAUGAAAUCAUCGUUGACGUUCUGUUUAUGUAGACUUCAAAUAAUUCUUUUUUAAAGAAAAUAUUUCUCGUAGAAUUUCUUGAACGUUAACGACGUCUUUCGAUUUUUAUUUGCAUGAUCGAAACAGUUAUUAACAAAAAAUCUGAAUUUGUUUAACGCAAUAUAUCCCAAAACAUACAUACCCUAAUUAUUAUAAAUUGUCGAAUUAACCGUUCCCAUAUAGCACAUUUCUUUCAAAAUAUUCAAUGUUCCUCUCUUCGAGUCUAAAACCACAUUGAAUAUGAUCGUAUAUUAGUUUCUAAUUAUUUACAUCGUUCGUCCUUUUAUUGAAAACAUUAUACACAAGGAAAUAACAUUCGUCAAAUUAAGAAACGAUAAUUCACUGCUUAUACUCUUCCAGGAAAGAGAGAGAGAGCACAAUAUAAACAGAGAGUAUUCCAACGGAAGAAGAAAAGAGAAAGAGAGAGAGAGAGAGAGAGACAAAAAAACAAGAGAGAGGAAUAAAAAGCACAAAAAACGACAUAUCUUGAACGGUAGUUCAUUAAAGCAGAGGGACGACUCGAGUUAACCCCUCGCCGAUGAAACUGAGUCACGUCGUGCAGCCGGCUGGCCGUAUAUGCAAAUCACUCGCGUGGGGUAUUCCCCUUUUCUCCCUCUUCCUAUUUCCCUUUCUCUUCGCUAACAUUGAGUGGAGAAAAAAAAAGAGACUUCGAUGGUGGGGAUGAACGAGAAAGCUCAUUAGUUAUUUUUCUAUCGUGAUAGGGGUAUUCCGUUGGUAAACGGCAGCCAUCGUAACUUCCCUCACAGUUACCACUACUACUGCUACCACUACUCCUUCCACCACCACAAGCAUUGACCACCAAACUGCUCUUGAAUUGUUUAUGCGAGAGCACGCUUUAUGGUACGAUAGGUGGGUUUAUAUCAGUGACCCAAAAACAUAUCGUACUUUUAUACGAAUUAUCGAGCACGACGAUAUAAGUUAUGUUUUUAUUGUUUUUUUCUAUUUAUAUAAACAAUUAAAGAAAGAGCAAAUUUCAUCGCGUUUCUAUUAUAUUAUGUGUACAACUUGUUUUUAUUGUAAUAUAUUUUAACGACAAUAACAAUUAUGAAGAAUAAAUCAUUCUUUUUGAAAAAUAACACAUUACGAAUAAUAAGUUAAUGCGAUAAUUUAGAUUUCACUCUGACUUCGUCGUUUCCCGAGUCAGUGAUUCGUAAUAACGUAUGCAAGCGCUAACACGCGAGAGAAAUCGUUCGAUAAAUCAAAUCAGAGAGUCAUUGUACAUUCGCGGCCUUCUCAGGUAUAGCACAGGAUUGCCAAAAUUGCGUCGGAGAAAGAGAGAGAGAGAGAGAUAGAGAAAGGGAAAGAGAAAGAGGGUAGAUGAAAAUGAUUGAGAGGAAAAAGGAGCGAGUCGUGAGAAUGAAAAGCGCAAGGAAGGAUAUUCAAAUUUGGAACCCUCGUUAGUCCUCGAAUUUCUCAAUGUGCAAUAAUUUAUCAUCGGGCCCCGCUGAGGUGAACGAUCGUAUAAUACCGGACUACCUGCAUGCAUAAUUUAUCCGGAUUUUCAAGAAAGAAAGAAAGAAAGAAGGAAGGAAGGGCCCAAAAAGAAAAGGGUUGCUUCCGCAGGAACGUAUAUCGAUUCUUUUAUUUUUCCGUUUUUACCCUUCUGGUAUGUAAACGAAAUAAAAUGAUAAGUAAAAAAUUAAAUUCACCGAUAUGCGUUUAUUAAAUCACGAGAUGAACUUGCAGACAACAUUUCUAGCAAGUUACACCGUAGUCGGAAGAUUCAGUAUUGAACAAGAUCAAAGUAUUUUUUCUAGCUAGAAUAAUCCACAGAAAAAGGGAUAAAAAGUUCAACGAUACAGCCCUGGACCCUUUGCACAGGAUCCUACAUGUCACUGGUGUGUACCUGUGAGACCAGGAAGGAGCCCUCAACCCUUUUCCUUAGAGAAGGAGAGACCUCUUUUUAUGCGUGCAUCAGGAAAAAAGCAAGAAAGAGAGAGAGAGAGAGAAAAGAGGAAAAGGAAACUUCCCUCCCUCUCGGAUGCUAGCAAUCCUACCCCACCGGUUUCAUCCUGCUUUUUCACGAUGAAAAGGCCUCCAAUGGGGGUUGAUUCAAUGGUAUUCUAAUUAUAUGCAAAGACGUAUGACUACGAUGUACCAUCGGUCUCUUAUGUAAGAAAGAAGGAUAUGCUUACGUAACGUACGAUUCCUUUUCCGGUAGGAGCACGUAAUUCUCCUUUGAAAGCGAAAUAGAUCCGAGCUAAUCGCGAAACGGAACUACCUACUACCGUCGCAGUGGAACAUUAUUUUAUUUUUUACCUUCGAUUCGUCAUAUUUUUAUUUAUAUAUAGUACGAACGGUGCGCUUGUUUAUCGAUCCCCUAUCCAAUUGUAGACAUUCUCGAAAUUCAAUUUACGUAGUCUUCUUUAACCGCUUGUAUAACUUUCCCUUUCAGUUGCGAUAAGAUAUAUGUAUGUAUGAGACGAGAGACUAUCGAUGAACGUAUGAGUUAUCGUCGAUGCCCAAAUUGCUUGCCAAGCGCGGUGAUGUAGAGCUCCAGGCCGAAGAUUUAUUUCUCGAAUGGAAUGCAAUAGCCUGUUCUUUGAUGUCAUCCUUAAAGAAUCCAAGAACGCCAGGAGGAAAUAUCGAUAUUCCAUGGCUGUAUCGGCCAAAAUUUCAAGCAUGGCCGAGCCGUUUGAUGACAAACGCACCCUCGCAGGCAGAGAGUGGAAGCCGAAAUGCGUCCACCCCGCCUAUUCGAGGGGGAUGAAUUCGACCAAUUGAUGGGUUUCGAGUUGGGCCUGGAUCAAUCAACGAACGGCGUCGUUCAAAGCCAGUGGCCAUUCCUACACCACUGACCUCGUUCGUUGCUUUUUCCUUUUUCAAAAGCAAAUUGGAUUUUUAAUCCCAUGCGUAUGCCGACACAGGACGGUACUCUGUCCAAAUUUCGUUUCGUGUCUUUCGAUACACUUUAAUCUUUGAAACAUCCUACAAAUAUGCAAACUUAUUCGAGUGGACAAAAACAGUCGAAAUUCUGCGUGAAAUUCUUUGUUAUAUUUUCAAAUAAUAAAUGAUACAAUAUAAACCUCUCUUUAAUUUGUAAUCAUCAAAGAAAUACAA